AUGAGGGGGCCGGAGGGGGAAGGGAAGGACUCCGAGCUCUCCCGGCGGUGGGCUGGGUCCGAGGCCCGCGGACGGCCCGCGGCGGGGCCCUGGGUUCGAGGUCGCCCGCCGCUGACCAGCUCCGCCCCCGCCCCUCGGGCCUCAGUUUCCCUCCCGCGUGGAUGGAGGGGCGAGUCCGGGGCCCGUCCGGUGAGCCGCGGGAGGGGAGGGGCGAGGGUGGUAACUCGAGCCGCCCGGAAGGGGUCUCCCGGCGCCCGCGGCCGCGUUCCGGGCGGAGGCACGGGGCCCGGAGCCGGGGUCGCCCCGAGCCGCGGGCGCAGCCCACCCGGCGGCCGCCCUCCCGGUUGUCGGCGCGCCCGGCGGCGCGGAGGUGAGCGCGGGCCCGCGGGCUCGGGAGGAGGCGGCCCCGGGAAGGCGUGGCCCGCGGCGACGUGGCGGGGCAGCCCCACUGCGCGGGCCGGGAGACUGAGGCCCCGCCGCCCCCUGCGGCGCGCGCCCGGGACCCCGGGACCCUGCGGAGCCCGCCGCUGCUUGGUGGCCCGGCCGCCGGGUCCCACCGCCCAGCUCCUCGAGGAGUCGAGAGACGCGGUGCCCCGGGCGCCCCCCGGGAGGGGUGGGGGCCGCUCCCGCCCCAGGCUCGCGGCGGCGGCGGGGGUGGGGUGGGGGCACUGCUCCUCGGGCCCCCCUCGCGCCCCGGGGCCGGCGGACCUCAGCGAGCGCCCCCCCCCCCCACCGCACGGCCCUGCCCCCGUGUGCCCCCGGCCGGCCUCUCUCCUUAGGCCUGGUCGCGACCUCUUAAUUAAUUUUUACAUCCAUUUAUUGUUUAUCUUGGUCUGUUUACAGUGUGUCUCCCGCUGGAAUGUAGGCUCCAGGAGGGAGGGACUGCUUUGUCCAUCGUUGCAUUCUCGGCUAUUUCAGUACUUUCCGAGGGCCCCUUCCCGAUGGGCUGCAUGUUGGAGGUCACACGGGCAGCCAGUCGAGGAGUCCUGCCCUACACGCCGGGGCUGGGGAUAG
rnacentral:lncRNA from 1 species